rfam:Triticum aestivum genome assembly, contig: Triticum_aestivum_CS42_TGACv1_scaffold_621670_7DS
GUGUUUGCGGGCGCGGCACCAUCAAGAUUCACAUCCAUCCCAUCCAGGCAUCCUUCGGUUCGUUUCCAAAACGAAACGGUCGACAACGCGUUGGACACAAUAUAGAUGUGCAUGAGAAUCUUGAUGAUGCUGCGUCCGCACACAA